rnacentral:lncRNA from 1 species
GUAGCCAUGCCAAGCUAGAUGUAAACUCAAGCAGUUCGUGUAGCAUAGGCCUAUCUCAGUUCGCUUUAGAUCGAGACGCGUCUAGGAGUGCGCGUCAGGCAAAAGUUUUUCAAACAUGCUUUGCAUAAUAAUCCCUUUACUGCAGUCUACUUCGUUGCAAUACAGCUGUGUUAUACGGCGAAGAACAUUAACAGUAGAAAGGGACACGUGAACGACGAGGCUGUCGACAUUUCCCCCCACCCCCAGGUGCUACUUGUAUGGCUCAUUGUUGUUAUAAGCGUUUCGUGUUCCAUAACCUGACGUUUUUAAGCGCCGGUUUGAUAAUGCCUAAGUGAUAUAAGUGCCACUCUGAGGACGGUCUUGUAGCCUUCACAUAUCGUGGCCUUGCACUUUACUCCUGCAUUUACCUAUUUACCUGUUAUACUCCCGCUUGCUUCUGCAUUGUGACCAAGAACUGUUAUCUUUGAAGCUUGGACUUUUAUCCCUCUGCCUUGACUCCGCCAAAGUAUGUGCAAAUUGUAUGAAUAUAUAGUUAGAUGUUUUACACCGUUUACAUGCGUCGUGUAUUGACGCCAUUAUCUUAGAUCUGCGUUUUACUCACUCUUUGUGGCACUGCCUAUGCUAUUGUCUGUGCCGUGCACACGUAUUGUUGAAAGCAAGUAUUGUUAAUCAUCUUGCCUGUAGUAUUGUUACACCAUGUGAGUGUUGUUGAAAAGCACUGCUUGCGUGCUAGUCGCGUAUUGCACACUUUACAUGUGCACACUUUACAUGUGCACACUUUACAUGUCUCAGCCGCAUACGUCAUCGCUGUGUGGCUGGUUGACGGGAAGGUUUCGCGCCGGACGCCCGUUUACUGCCGUUCGCCGCGUGCCAAAUUGUUUCCGGCAUAGAUCAGUCCGGGCGCCCGGACGCAUUUAGUGUUACUUCCGGUGUAGUUCGUAUAACCGGAAGGCCAAGUAUCGAGUCUCUUUCCUCCCUGUGUCUGCCAAAGCAGCCGCAACCGAGUGCGUCAUGACUGAGUGCUCAUUGAAGCUGCUGGUGAUAGAAAUAAUUCUAGAGGCUCAGAAAGCUCUGCUGGCGUGUAAGAUGCCAAAUUUUCGCGACUGCUGUGCAGAUCGCUUUUCUGUAUUGUAUAAAUGUUUAGAAUUUACGAAACCGGUGAUAACGUGGGCCUCUUUAACGCGAGCUUCGCUGCUGUGCAACUUGAUGCAACGAGCUAUUCAGAGAGAAGUGCGUCCCGCAUCUGGACAUUCCGCACCUUUCGAACGUUACUUGUACAAGCGCACUUUUCCGAAAAAACACCGGAGACUGCGGUGUGGUAAAAAAACCAGGAGCAUGCAACUGACGAGAGAUAGUGUCUAGAUAACGGCUUUCGCUUAGAUAAGACGUUUGAAAGCACACAAUAAGGCUUUUCUCGCACGCUUAAUGAACACGUUCACAGUGACGAGAUAAAAAGAGUAGGUAGCGCUCGGCAAUUAUCACUAGGGCCCGUUCUUAAACCAGAUCGCGUACAAAAUGGCGCAGCGCUCGCGGCUGCGAAAGUCUACGAGUCCGCGAUCCGAUCUAAUUUUCUGUUUAAUGUGCUCUAUAGAGGUCACGUUAAAAUAUUGCUCAUACGUCUGGCUCUCCUAUAAAGCAAAUGAACGUGAUUUCCUUUUCCGCGCCAAAAAUUUUUCGAGAGGUACAGGUCAGAUUGUUACAACGCCACGAAAUGUCUCUCGCGCGAAGAACCCUCUGGCCGUUGGCGUAGCACUCAAGACUGUUGUCACUGCUAGCUCGAAAUAGCGCGAGCUUUUUCGCGCAUCUACCGGUUUAGAGAAAACCCUCCAAGCUUUGUGCUGUGAGCCCUGAACUAAAUCUACAAGCGAUCUGCACUGCACU